UAAAGUUUAAUAAAAACAACUUUUAACAAUGGAUCUCUUGGUUCUCGCAUCGAUGAAGAACGUAGCAAAGUGCGAUAACUAGUGUGAAUUGCAUAUUCAGUGAAUCAUCGAGUCUUUGAACGCAGCUUGCACUCUAUGGUUUUUCUAUAGAGUACGCC
rnacentral:rRNA from 1 species